rnacentral:tRNA from 1 species
UGCUAUAGAGAGGGAAUCGAACCCACAAUGUUCCGCUUACCGGGCAGAUGCCAUAUCCACUAGGCUACCC